rnacentral:misc_RNA from 1 species
GAUGAAGAACGUAGCGAAAUGCGAUAAGUAAUGUGAAUUGCAGAAUUCAGUGAAUCAUCGAAUCUUUGAACGCACAUUGCGCCCGUCAGUAUUCUGGCGGGCAUGCUUGUUCGAGCGUCAUUACGCCCCUCAAGUCCCCUGUGGACUUGGUGUUGGGGAUCGGCGAGGCUGGUUUUCCAGCACAGCCGUCCCUUAAAUUAAUUGGCGGUCUCGCCGUGGCCCUCCUCUGCGCAGUAGUAAAACACUCGCAACAGGAGCCCGGCGCGGUCCACUGCCGUAAAACCCCCCAACUUUUUAUAGUUGACCUCGAAUCAGGUAGGACUACCCGCUGAACUUAAGCAUAUCAAUAAGCGGAGGA